rnacentral:rRNA from 1 species
UACAGAGGCCCCAAGCGUUACUGAGAAUCACUGGGUUUAAAGGGUGCGUAGGUGGCGCGUUAAGUCCGUUGUGAAAGCCCUGGGCUCAACCCAGGAACUGCUUCGAUACUGGCGCGCUUGAGGCUAGUAGGGGUCACUGGAACUGACGGUGGAGCGGUGAAAUGCGUAGAUAUCGUCAGGAACGCCAAUGGUGAAGACAGGUGACUGGGCUAGUUCUGACACUGAGGCACGAAAGCGUGGGGAGCGAACGGG